CUGCCCCUCUUCCAGCCGGCCGAUUCCUUUGUCCAGCUUCCCAGGCAAAGAUGCUGACACCUCUCCCUCCUACCUGGCUCAAGUUACAGGCUUAAAGAUCCUG